rnacentral:rRNA from 1 species
GAUGAACGCUGACAGAAUGCUUAACACAUGCAAGUCUACUUGAACUUCGGUUUGGGUGGCGGACGGGUGAGUAACGCGUAAAGAACUUGCCUCACAGUUAGGGACAACAUUUGGAAACGAAUGCUAAUACCUGAUAUUAUGAUUUUAGGGCAUCCUAGAAUUAUGAAAGCUAUAUGUGCUGUGAGAGAGCUUUGCGUCCCAUUAGCUAGUUGGAGAGGUAACGGCUCACCAAGGCGAUGAUGGGUAGCCGGCCUGAGAGGGUGAACGGCCACAAGGGGACUGAGACACGGCCCUUACUCCUACGGGAGGCAGCAGUGGGGAAUAUUGGACAAUGGACCAAAAGUCUGAUCCAGCAAUUCUGUGUGCACGAUGACGUUUUUCGGAAUGUAAAGUGCUUUCAGUUGGGAAGAAAAAAAUGACGGUACCAACAGAAGAAGUGACGGCUAAAUACGUG